rnacentral:rRNA from 1 species
UACAGAGGUCCCAAGCGUUGUUCGGAUUCAUUGGGCGUAAAGGGUGCGUAGGCGGCGCGGUAAGUCGGGUGUGAAAUCUCGGGGCUUAACUCCGAAACUGCAUUCGAUACUGCCGUGCUUGAGGACUGGAGAGGAGACUGGAAUUUACGGUGUAGCGGUGAAAUGCGCAGAUAUCAGGAGGAACACCGGUGGCGAAGGCGGCAUCCUGGACCAAUUCUGACGCUGAGGCGCGAAAGCGUGGGGAGCAAACAGG